CUCGCGGCCUAUCAGCUUGUUGGUGGGGUGAUGGCCUACCAAGGCGACGACGGGUAGCCGGCCUGAGAGGGCGACCGGCCACACUGGGACUGAGACACGGCCCAGACUCCUACGGGAGGCAGCAGUGGGGAAUAUUGCACAAUGGGCGAAAGCCUGAUGCAGCGACGCCGCGUGAGGGAUGAAGGCCUUCGGGUUGUAAACCUCUUUCAGCAGGGAAGAAGCGCAAGUGACGGUACCUGCAGAAGAAGCGCCGGCUAACUACGUGCCAGCAGCCGCGGUAAUACGUAGGGCGCAAGCGUUGUCCGGAAUUAUUGGGCGUAAAGAGCUCGUAGGCGGUUUGUCGCGUCUGGUGUGAAAACUCGAGGCUCAACCUCGAGCUUGCAUCGGGUACGGGCAGACUAGAGUGCGGUAGGGGAGACUGGAAUUCCUGGUGUAGCGGUGGAAUGCGCAGAUAUCAGGAGGAACACCGAUGGCGAAGGCAGGUCUCUGGGCCGCAACUGACGCUGAGGAGCGAAAGCAUGGGGAGCGAACAGGAUUAGAUACCCUGGUAGUCCAUGCCGUAAACGUUGGGCACUAGGUGUGGGGCUCAUUCCACGAGUUCCGUGCCGCAGCAAACGCA
rnacentral:rRNA from 1 species